GUAGUGGAAAAACAAUUUUAAUAGAUAAAUAAUCAAGAUAUUUUGAGAAGCUGUCUAUAAAAGUCAUAAACCACUACCAAAAGCUUACUCCACAUCUCUCUCUACAAAAAGUACUCAGGAGCAAAAAAAAACGAAAUCAAAUAAAAAUAAAAUGGUUCUGCUAGAUAAGCUUUGGGAUGAUGUUGUUGCCGGACCUCAACCUGACCGUGGCCUAGCCCGCCUCCGUAAAAUCACCACCCAACCCAUUAAUAUCAGAGGAGAAGGAAGCAACAAGGUGAUGCAUAGGUCGUUGACUAUGCCGACGGUAGUGAGCCCCGGAACUCCAACUACUCCGACCACUCCGACAACGCCACAUAAGGAUAACGUGUGGAGGAGCGUCUUUAAUCCUGGAAGCAAUCUCGCCACAAGAGCCAUCGGCUCCAACAUCUUUGAUAAACCAGCCCACCCAAAUUCUCCAUCCGUCUACGACUGCGAUGAUAACGAAGCUCAAAGGAAGGAACACGUGGCACUGUGUUUAGUAGGCGCGUGGAUUAAAUGAAAACCAAUAAAACAUUAUUCUGUUUUACCAUAUCAACCACCUCCUUUAUUGUGCAUAUGGUUGUACAGCGGCGAGUCAAGGAGUCAGCACCGUUAAAAGCGAGUCAAUGGGAGUGACACAAGUGGGUGAUGUAAAUAUGGUGUCUAGAUCUACCGUCACGUGUCUGUCUAGGUUUUGCUUGUUUAUAUAACUGUCUUCCACCUAUGCAAUAAGUUUUCCUUUUUGGGCUUGGUUUGCAAGUUUCUUUUGUGUGUUUUUGUAGUAACUUGCAAGUGGAGAGGUUGAGUCUUCACUAUCUCGUUUGGUUUUGAUAGUGAACAUGCAUCUGCUUUUGUGUUUCUA